rnacentral:rRNA from 1 species
UAAAGCGCACGCAGGCGGUUUGUUAAGUCAGAUGUGAAAUCCCCGCGCUUAACGUGGGAACUGCAUUUGAAACUGGCAAGCUAGAGUCUUGUAGAGGGGGGUAGAAUUCCAGGUGUAGCGGUGAAAUGCGUAGAGAUCUGGAGGAAUACCGGUGGCGAAGGCGGCCCCCUGGACAAAGACUGACGCUCAGGUGCGAAAGCGUGGGGAGCAAACAGGAUUAGAUACCCUGGUAGUCCACGCUGUAAACGAUGUCGACUUGGAGGUUGUGCCCUUGAGGCGUGGCUUCCGGAGCUAACGCGUUAAGUCGACCGCCUGGGGAGUACGGCCGCAAGGUUAAAACUCAAAUGAAUUGACGGGGGCCCGCACAAGCGGUGGAGCAUGUGGUUUAAUUCGAUGCAACGCGAAGAACCUUACCUACUCUUGACAUCCAGAGAAUUCGCUAGAGAUAG